rnacentral:rRNA from 1 species
GCAUAUCAAUAAGCGGAGGAGAGAGAAACCAACAGGGAUUGCCUUAGUAACGGGCGCAGUGAAGCGCGCAACAGGAAUCAAAUUUGAAAUCUGGCCCUCGGGUCCGAAUUGUAAUUUGUAGAGGAUGAUUUUGGUGCGGUAUCUUCCGAGUUCCUUGGAACAGGACGCCUUAGAGGGUGAGAGCCCCGUACGGUUGAAUGCCUAGCCUCUGUAAAUCUCCUUCGACGAGUCGAGUAGUUUGGGAAUGCUGCUCUAAAUGGGAGGUAAAUUUCUUCUAAAGCUAAAUAUUGGCCAGAGACCGAUAGCGCACAAGUAGAGUGAUCGAAAGAUGAAAAGCACUUUGAAAAGAGGGUUAAAUAGCACGUGAAAUUGUUGAAAGGGAAGGAUUUGUGACCAGACUUUUUCUGGGCGGAUCAUCCGGGGUUCUCUCCGGUGCACUUUGCCCAGUAAAGGCCAGCAUCGAUUUUCGGCGGCGGAUAAAAGCAGUGGGAAUGUGGCUCCCUACGGGGAGUGUUAUAGCCCAUUGUAUAAUACGCUGCUGGGGAUCGAGGUACGCGCUUCUGCAAGGAUGCUGGCGUAAUGGUUAUCAAUCACCCGUCUUGAAACACGGACCAAGGAGUCGAACAUUUAUGCGAGUGUUUGGGUGUUAAACCCUCACGCGUAAUGAAAGUGAACGGAGGUGAGAGCCCGUACGGGUGCAUCAUCGACCGAUCCUGAAGUUUUCGGAUGGAUUUGAGUAAGAGCAUAACUGUUCGGACCCGAAAGAUGGUGAACUAUGCGUGGAUAGGGUGAAGCCAGAGGAAACUCUGGUGGAGGCUCGCAGCGGUUCUGACGUGCAAAUCGAUCGUCAAAUCUGCGCAUGGGGGGCGAAAGACUAAUCGAAUCUAUCUAGUAGCUGGGUUACCCGCCCGCAAG